rnacentral:rRNA from 1 species
UACGUAGGGUGCAAGCGUUUGUCCGGAAUUAUUGGGCGUAAAGAGCUCGUAGGCGGUUUGUCGCGUCUGCUGUGAAAACCCGAGGCUCAACUUCGGGCUUGCAGUCGAUACGGGCAGGCUAGAGUUCGGUAGGGGUGAGCGGAAUUCCCGGUGUAGUGGUGGAAUGCGUAGAGUAUCGGGAGGAACACCGGUGGCGAAGGCGGCUCACUGGGCCGGUCCUGACGCUCAGGCGCGAAAGCGUGGGGAGCGAUCCGGG